rnacentral:rRNA from 1 species
CUAAGCACACUGUUGGUUAUGUGUGCCCAAGCAUUGAGGCAGUCAAAGUAGGCAAAUCCGCUUUGAUAAUGCUGGGAUGUGAUGGGGAGCGAAAUUUAGUAGCGAAGUAGCUGAUUUCACACUGUCAAGAAAAGUCUCUAUCGAGGUUAAAGGUACCCGUACCGCAAACCGACACAGGUGGGUGAGGAGAGUAUCCUAAGGCCAGCGAGAGAACUGUUGUUAAGGAACUCGGCAAAAUGACCCCGUAACUUAGGGAUAAGGGGUGCCACCAUCAGGUGGCCGCAGAGAAUAGGCCCAAGCGACUGUUUACCAAAAACAUAGGUUUCUGCUAAGUCGCAAGACGAUGUAUAGGAGCUGACGCCUGCCCGGUGCUGGAAGGUUAAGGGGAUCUGUUAGAGUAAUCGAAGCAGUGAACUUAAGCCCCAGUAAACGGCGGCCGUAACUAUAACGGUCCUAAGGUAGCGAAAUUCCUUGUCGGGUAAGUUCCGACCCGCACGAAAGGCGUAACGAUUUGGGCACUGUCUCAACAACAGACUCGGUGAAAUUGUAAUUCCGGUGAAGAUGCCGGAUACCUGCGACAGGACGGAAAGACCCCAUGGAGCUUUACUGUAGCUUGACAUUGGGUCUUGGUACUACAUGUACAGGAUAGGUGGGAGGCUUUGAAACCAGGACGCCAGUUUUGGCGGAGCCAUCCUUGGGAUACCACCCUUGUAGUACUGGGACUCUAACCAUAGGCCAUGAAUCUGGUCUUGGGACACUGUCAGGUGGGCAGUUUGACUGGGGCGGUCGCCUCCCAAAAGGUAACGGAGGCGCUCAAAGGUUCUCUCAGUACGGUCGGAAAUCGUACGUAGAGUGUAAAGGCAAAAGAGAGCUUGAUUGCAAGACAUACAGGUCGAGCAAGGAUGAAAAUCGGACUUAGUGAUCCGGUGGUUCUGCGUGGAAGGGCCAUCGCUCAACGGAUAAAAGCUACCCUGGGGAUAACAGGCUUAUCUCCCCCAAGAGUCCACAUCGACGGGGAGGUUUGGCACCUCGAUGUCGGCUCAUCACAUCCUGGGGCUGUAGUAGGUCCCAAGGGUUGGGCUGUUCGCCCAUUAAAGUGGUACGCGAGCUGGGUUCAGAACGUCGUGAGACAGUUCGGUCCCUAUCCGUCGCAGGCGUAGGAAAUUUGAGAAGACCUGUCCUUAGUACGAGAGGACCGGGAUGGACGUACCUCUGGUGUACCAGUUGUCCUGCCAAGGGCAUGGCUGGGUAGCUAUGUACGGAAUGGAUAAGCGCUGAAAGCAUCUAAGCGCGAAGCCAACUUCAAGAUAAGAUUUCCCACCGCAAGGGUAAGACCCCAGAAAGACUAUCUGGUUGAUAGGUCGAAGGUGUAAGUGCAGCAAUGUAUUUAGCUUAUCGAUACUAAUAGGUCGAGGACUUGACCAA